rnacentral:rRNA from 1 species
AUGCCGGCGGCGAUGAGGCUCUGCGCUCGCGCGCUCCGGCGAACGCAGCAGCCGGCGGUGGCCUCGACGCAGCAGCGGUGGGUCUCGACAAGGUGGUUCGGCAAAACAAGGGCCACCACGGCGGAAGAGCUAAAAGACUUGGCGCGGGCCGCAGAGAUGAAAGAGGAGCUCUACAACACCAUCUCUGACAUCACAGCCAAGUACAAGGUUCGUGGAAAGACAGGCAGAGACAACAGGCUGCUGCUCGAGCGACUCUCCAUGCAAGUCGAGCCUAGACCCAAUGACCCCUACUGGCGGUCUUGUCUGAGAACGGAAAUAACCAAUCAUAUCUUGAUCACGGUUGGAUCAUGCUCUCUUAUUAGUAUGGCUCCUUUUGCUGUAAGUUCGCUGAUUACAGCGUUAACCCCUCGAAAAAAGAAUUUGUUGGAGCAAUGGUGGGACGCAGUAUUCGGAAACUAG